AGGAGGACGAUGUUGUGAUAUAGGGGUGUGAGGUGAGGACGAGGGAGAAUACUGGGUUAUUGAGCGUUUCGGUAAUUGUUUAUUGUGAUGACCUGUACUAAGCAAACUACUUGUAAGUCAACUUGAGGAAAGGCUUCAAGGAAGCAGCACGCCACCAAGAGAGUCAGAGCCAAGUAGCUGCACAUUGAUAUUAUAAUGCAGCAGCGAACAAACGGGAUUAAAUAUGGAACUAUGG